rnacentral:tRNA from 1 species
GGAGGGUUGGCGGAAUGGCAACGCGCGGCACUCGAAAUGCCGUGGAGGAUUUCCUCCUUGCAGGUUCGAAUCCUGCACCCUCCG